GGCUCCAACCCACUAAGCAGCCCCUUAUAAUUGCUUUGAAUUAGGGUUAGGUUCCUCCCAGUUUCGUUCCUCCUUCGAAUCGUAGAAAAUCAAACCCUAACCCAAAGCUUCAAUCAUGUCUUCCAAGCUAGGUGGAAAAGCUAAGCCUUUGAAGGCACCAAAGUCUGAGAAGAAGGAUUACGACGAGACUGAUCUGGCCAACAUUCAAAAGAAAAAGGAUGAAGAAAAGGCACUUAAGU